rnacentral:lncRNA from 14 species
GUGCUGUGGGCAGUGCCAGCUGACCCUCCUGCAAUUAACAGGGGUCAGGCAGCCAGGUGGAGGUUUCCUGCGGCUGGCAGCGCCCUGUGGCUGUCAGGGAGGGGGCUGUCCAUUCCCCCCUGCCCUUGGCUGGGGUCCCAGUGCAGCUGGAAGGGAGCUGCUCCCACACAGGCAGCGCCUUGCAGGUGGCCUCGGCAGCCCACGCUGUGCCUGACAGCCAGGACCACCCGGGAGGCGGCUGCCGGCAGCUGUGGGGAGGGAACGCCCGCGGGAUGGCCACGCCGUGCUGGGCGUGCAAUGGGGGAUCGGCUCUCCGUGCUCACAGGACGCAGCUCCGUGACAGGCCCUGGGGACGGCUGUGACUGGAUGGCGAUGGACCUCUCCCUGUCCAGUGGAGAGGUGUGGGCAUUGGGCAGCCAUGGCCGCAGCAGCCUGCUGGGAGGGAUGGGAAAGCACUGGAGCAAAAUCCUGACACAAGGGAAGUGAUCUCAGGGCUGACUCCACAGUCCCCCCAUUUCCACAGAGCACGGACCAAGCACACGACAGCUCAGGAGCGUCCUAACAGAAGCACUGACAGCACAGAUCCUGGCACCCUCAGCAUGCCAGGAGCCCCCAUCUCUGCAACAGACACACGUGUGCACACUCAGACACGUACAGAAUCACAGACACAUGUGUGCACACACGUACAGAAUCACAGACACACGUGUGCACACAAACACGUACAGAAUCACAGACACACGUGUGCACAAUCAGACACGUACAGAAUCACAGACACACGUGUGCACACAGACAUGUACAGAAUCACAGACACACGUGUGCACACUCAGACACGUACAGAAUUACUGACACAUGUGUGCACACAAACACGUACAGAAUCACAGACACACGUGUGCACACUCAGACACGUACAGAAUCACAGACACAGGUGUGCACACUCAGACAUGUACAGAAUCACAGACACGUGUGCAGACAUGUACAGAAUCACAGACACACGUGUGCACACUCAGACACGUACAGAAUCACAGACACACGUGUGCACACUCAGACAUGUACAGAAUCACAGACACAGGUGUGCACACUCAGACAUGUACAGAAUCACAGACACGUGUGCAGACAUGUACAGAAUUACAGACACA